ACUCCUACGGGAGGCAGCAGUGGGAAUAUUGCACAAUGGGCGCAAGCCUGAUGCAGCCAUGCCGCGUGUAUGAAGAAGGCCUUCGGUUGUAAAGUACUUUCAGUCAGAUGAGGAAGGUGGGUAUGUUAAUAGCAUAUUCAUUUGACGUUAGCUGCAGAAGAAGCACCGGCUAACUCCGUGCCAGCAGCCGCGGUAAUACGGAGGGUGCGAGCGUUAAUCGGAAUUACUGGGCGUAAAGCGCAUGCAGGUGGUUUGUUAAGUCAGAUGUGAAAGCCGGCUCAGGCUCAGCACGGACUUG
rnacentral:rRNA from 1 species